GUUUAUUUCCAAGACGUUUUUCUCAUUUUAAUUAAAGAGUUUUUUUUUUUGUGUGUGUGUGUGUGCUUCGUCUACUGAAUCUAUUUUCCUGUUCAAGUUUCCUUUUCACUAAAGCGAAGAUUUCAGCGAGCGGGAACUGACCGCAACCUUGUGCCGGAAUGUUCCACAGAAUCCAUCAUCAUCAUCAUCAUCGUCGUCGUCAUCAUAUGCAACAAAUCAACAAAAAGUCAAAUGGUUAGUUCCACUUUUCUAUGUUAUUGAAAAUAAAUUACGUGGUACAAGCCGUUUGCUAAUCGCUCUAAAGUGGAAUGCAAAACAAACAAACCCCCCAAAAAAGAGAUGGAACGCUCACACUGCGAGAUAAAAAAAACAAACAAAAGAAAAAAGAAAUCUAAUGUCUCUUAUGUACAACAGCAAGCAUGUUUGAAACUAUAAAUUAAUCUGACCAAAGAUCAUCACGGCGACAACAAAAAGUCCAGCUUGGAAAGAAAGAAAGAAAGAAAAAAACCCCAAAAGAUAAAAAGAAAAAAUCCGAUGAGUCGCCGUUGUCGUGGCUUUUCAAACGGAAACGUCGGACAAGUUGCUCCUCGACAGGCUUCUUUUUGGUUUGUUUUGUUUUGUUUUUUUUAAUGCCAAAUAAAUUCACUUCGAGAAGAAAAGGUGAACGUAGCCGUCGUUAACGCGAUCAAAUUGUUGACUUCCGAGCUUGCAGAAGAAGAAGUUGACGUGAGCACUUUUGGGUGGCGUCAGACACGUUUGGAAAUUGUUGCUUUUGAAUUUGGCUUCUUUGGGGACACGCCACACUUUCAUGUCGCUGAGAUGCCAAUGUUAGCUAGCUAGCGAUAAUUCCAACGUUAAAACGCACUUUUGCUUGACACGUUACAAAUACGAGGGCUCGUUUUUUUGAAAUUCUUCUUGGAGGUGGCACCUUCAAAUCUAUCAUCAAAUCGUGAAUUCCAAAUUUGCUAAAAAUCGUCAAAAGAUUCUCAACGUCCGUCCAGAAGUGCGUAAAGCAAGCAAGGACUUUCAUGUUUUACGCUUGAACAUUUCCUUGGCCUCGUUUGAGAAAAAAAAAGACCAAACUUUUGAUGGGGAUUUUUGUCAAAUAUCAUAACGCACAGUGCAGCACGUACGUCACAGAAUGUUUAAAUGUAGUUCGCAUCGUGGCAAUGACGAGAAUUUGUACAGAACGCGUUGACAUCUUUUUCGUACGCUCGCCGUGCGCGACUCGGCUGCCGUGUUCCUUUCAGCUGUUAUUUUGCGUUUCAAAAAUCAAAGCGGGUCAUUGGUUGCUAGCAUUCUUCGGAUAUAUUUUGGCGGAAAAAGUUUUGUGAGCGCGCUUGGUCGACAUGUUCCGUGCAUGAUACGAUUUUUUUUCUUUUUUUACUUGAAAUUUGAUCAAAUAAAAUCAUGAAGAGUGAAAAUAUCCUAGCUAGCGCUCGAAAAUAAUGGCUAACAAGCUAGCUGCUUUUGAUGCCGUUACGUAAGGCUAAAGUUGAAUUAUGUCAAUUCGUGUCCUUUUUUUAGCGUAAACUUUUUCAACAAGGCAACAACGUGCAAAACAUCGCUGAAGUUAGCUAGGGGGCGACGUUGAGCGAGGAGACGGAUCAUCGGGCUCUCCAAUCGGAGAAAAGGAAGAAAAAAAAAAGGUAGCUUGAAUAAAAACACUCUCACCAUAGGGAAAGCUUUGACACAG